CCUCUAUAACUGGCAACCUCUUCCUCUCCCAGCAGUGAAACCUGCUGCUGUGUCCUGACUGCUGUCUACUACAUACAGUGGGCUAUUGCUCCAGUAUCUUGCUUCAGACACGUAAGCCCCCGCCUCCAGUAAACCACUGAUGUCUCUAUAGCUGACUCCUGGCUCUUCUUUGGUCUUGAAGUUGGGCAGGUACAGCCCAACAAUUGGCAAAACAGCUGGGAGACCAAGGAAACUCCUCUGCCCAGGGAGAAAAGUCUGCUGCCUCAAUCUGCCUGCUGUCCCCUGCACACGGUGGAGUGUUGCUUCAGGAUCUUGCUUAGACAUGUUAACACCUAAACCUGAGACAGAAGACCUCACAGAUGGCACUACUGUGGAAAGGACAUUUAAUGGGCACUUCAGAGAGGGAAAUACUCAGAAAUACCUGUUAAAUUGUCACAGCAAUCUUCCAGCUAAUAUCUUCUGAAUUAGAUUAAGGAAUGAGUAAUUUACCCAUUUAUGGAUUUUAUUGUGUCAUAGAAAGAACAUAGGAUUUGAGUCCAGCACCCAUCACUUAAAAGAUGGGGGAAACAUUUAUUUUUAGCUUUCCCAUCUAUAAAAUGGGUGUAAGAACAUUUAUGUGUUGGAUUACUGUAAGGAUUAAAAGUGAUCUGAAAAAAAAAAAAACAACAUAUCAUCCAGUAACAAAAAUUUGGGAUGGCAAUAGCAAUAUUGUUAUUACAUGUGACUUUUUAAGUACUUUAAUGUUCAUCAGUCUUCCCUAACUAUGCAUCUCUAAUUUGCCAUAUUAAUAGAUGGUGUAGCCAUUUUACUAAAUUUACUGAUUUUGGAGAUGGAAGGCAAAGUGUUCUAUUCUUCUUAAAAGUUUCAAAUGUAAAUUCAAAUGGUAUCUUAUAAAUAAAAGGACACAUAAUAACUUUUGAACAAUUAUGGGUUAUUUAUGUGCUUGUUUUUAAUUAUGAAAUCUAUCAUAUAAUCUUGCAACUCCACGUAAGGAGAAUUUAAGUGCUUCAUUUGUUUCUGGAAAAUAAUAGUAAUCAUUAUUUAAGAAAUUUGUUCCCUGUGAAUUUGGCAAAAUCCAAAGAGCUAAUUAUCUUUCCAGUAUGUGUGUGUGUUCUUAAAUAUGAGCAUUUCUUGCAGCUAAAUUAAAUUUGAAUAAAAGAUCUUUCUCUUUUAGCAAGUAAGAGACCAAAAAUAUUAGCUCUUUCAUCAGAACAAGCCUACACUAAGCUAUACCAUCUAUUGUGGGAAGUUGGAUGAUAACACUUCCACAAAACCAAUUAUUGGUUUAAUUUUCACCCUGUGUGAAAAGUUUCCCUUGGUUUUAAUUCUCUUUCAGAGGUUAAGCUUUAUAUCCUGAGAUCCUAACUUUGUGUCUUUGGAUAAAUAUAUUUUCCUUGUCCAUCAAAUAUUUUUCUGGAACAAAUCUUUCUAGCAAAAAUUUUCUGAUGGGAAUUUUGAAAAUACCUGAGUUUACACAGAUAUGCUUAAGUCUUUGUCCUUUGCUUUCAAAAAAGAUCCUCUCCAACACCUGGAUUGUGCGAAAACAAAAAAGCCUGCUAACCAUGUGAACAUGUGUCUUUGUUUAAAAUAUGUAUUUCCUUUUAUAUUUUUCUCUUUGGUUUUAUUUACUAAGAACUAAAUGCUGGCAGAUUAUAGAAUGUCUCCACUAACUUAAAGGAUAUGAACUCUGUUCCAGGGCAAAAGAGAUAGUGGUAACUAGUUGUGGGGAGGGGAACUUGCUGUCAUUUGGUAAACUCUAACAUUUCUUUUGGGUUCUACUUCUAUGAAUUUGUUUGACAUUAUUUAUUAACUAUUUUUCCCUAAUAUCCUCAGCACACAAAAAGAAUUUAAAAAAACCCACAAAAUGCAAAGGGGCUCCAUCUUGGUGCAAAUUGCUGCUGGGUUGAUUUCUUAGGAUCAA